GCCGGGGUGGCCGAGCACGGUUAAGGCGCGGGACUCGAGAUCCCGUCCCCGCAAGGGGGCCCGGGUUCAAAUCCCGGCCCCGGCACCA
rnacentral:tRNA from 1 species